UGUAAGGAUUUUCUAAAAAACAUUCCGGAAAGCAUUUUUUUAUCAAGGCUCUACCAUGAGUGGCUGUCCGUAAUGGAGAAAAGCAGCGACAGACAGAAAAUUGAAAAAAUUAAAAGGCUAUUAGACCAGCUACCAAGAGGAAACGUUGUGCUCUUAAGCUUGUGGAAUUUGUGAUAAAAAACUGCCGCAACAUCUUUGGAGGACACGUCACUGCCCUGUUUGGAGAGUCAUCCAGAAUAUAAAAUACUCAAGAAAAACCCUCAGAUACAUCUAGCAUUCCAGAGAGCAAUGCUUCCUCAUAUGAGAGCUUGAAGAAAAAAGCGACUGUGCUGCUGGCCACAGUGUGAUGAAUCAAAGAAAAUGCGUCCAAUUGAAGGGAAGCAUUGACUCGCUUAUAAUGUCUCUGGACUCUGGCCUUGAUGCCCUUGAAUUCUAAAUGAGCUUCAGGGCCUCCUGUAUGACUUUUAGUUCAGGUGGACCAGCCUCCUAAAGACAAGCCGAUGGAUGUAACAAUGUGCAGAGAUAUUCCACCACAGAAUCCUGCCAAGAUUCUGUCUGGCACUUGUCCACAGCUGCAUCAUAUGUUAAAAAAAAAAAAAUAGAAAAUGCUGUCAGCUGUCCUGUAUAAGCUCCACCUGAUCUACAAGGCUAAUUCUAUCAUAUUAACAGCUGUGGCUCACCUGUUGCCCUAGUUACUUGGGAGCUGAUUUCCCAGCAGAAACUUUGUAGGCCAGAU